rnacentral:rRNA from 1 species
GACGGAGGAUGCAAGCGUUAGCCGGAAUGAUUGGGCGUAAAGCGUCUGCAGGUGGCAGUUCAAGUCUGCUGUCAAAGACCGGGGCUUAACUUCGGAAAGGCAGUGGAAACUGAACAGCUAGAGUAUGGUAGGGGCAGAGGGAAUUCCUGGUGUAGCGGUGAAAUGCGUAGAGAUCAGGAAGAACAUCGGUGGCGAAGGCGCUCUGCUGGACCAUAACUGACACUCAGGGACGAAAGCUAGGGGAGCGAAUGGG